GAUGAACGCUAGCUACAGGCUUAACAUAUGCAAGUCGAGGGGUAACGAGAGGAAAGCUUGCUUUCCUUGUCGACGACCGGCGCACGGGUGAGUAACGCGUAUCCAACCUGCCCCCAACUAGGGAAUAACCUUGCGAAAGUAAGACUAAUACCCUAUAAUUUCCUCAGAUGCCAUCUGACGAGGAAUAAAGAUUUAUCGGUUGUGGAUGGGGAUGCGUCUGAUUAGCUUGUUGGCGGGGUAACGGCCCACCAAGGCAACGAUCAGUAGGGGUUCUGAGAGGAAGGUCCCCCACAUUGGAACUGGGACACGGUCCAAACUCCUACGGGAGGCAGCAGUGAGGAAUAUUGGUCAAUGGGCGGAAGCCUAAACAAGCCAAGUAGCGUGCAGGAUGACGGCCCUAUGGGUUGUAAACUGCUUUUAUACAGGAAUAAAGUUAGCCACGUGUGGUUAUUUGUAGGUACUGUAUGAAUAAGGACCGGCUAAUUCCGUGCCAGCAGCCGCAGUAA
rnacentral:rRNA from 1 species